GGUAGUCCACGCCCUAAACGAUGCGAACUGGAUGUUGGGUGCAAUUUGGCACGCAGUAUCGAAGCUGACGCGUUAAGUUCACCGCCUGGGGAGUACGGCCGCAAGGUUAAAACUCAAAUGAAUUGACGGGGGCCCGCACAAGCGGUGGAGCAUGUGGUUUAAUUCGAUGCAACGCGAAGAACCUUACCUACUCUUGACAUCCAGAGAACUUAGCAGAGAUGCUUUGGUGCCUUCGGGAACUCUGAGACAGGUGCUGCAUGGCUGUCGUCAGCUCGUGUUGUGAAAUGUUGGGUUAAGUCCCGCAACGAGCGCAACCCUUAUCCUUUGUUGCCAGCGGUUAGGCCGGGAACUCAAAGGAGACCGCCAGUGAUAAACUGGAGGAAGGUGGGGAUGACGUCAAGUCAUCAUGGCCCUUACGAGUAGGGCUACACACGUGCUACAAUGGCGCAUACAAAGAGAAGCGACCUCGCGAGAGCAAGCGGACCUCAUAAAGUGCGUCGUAGUCCGGAUUGGAGUCUGCAACUCGACUCCAUGAAGUCGGAAUCGCUAGUAAUCGUAGAUCAGAAUGCUACGGUGAAUACGUUCCCGGGCCUUGUACACACCGCCCGUCACACCAUGGGAGUGGGUUGCAAAAGAAGUAGGUAGCUUAACCUUCGGGAGGGCGCUUACCACUUUGUGAUUCAUGACUGGGGUGAAGUCGUAACAAGGUAACCGUAGGGGAACCUGC
rnacentral:rRNA from 1 species